UGGGGAAUAUUGCACAAUGGGGGGAAACCCGUACGAUGCAGCGACGCCGCGUGAGCGAAGAAGUAUUUCGGUAUGUAAAGCUCUAUCAGCAGGGAAGAAAAUAGACGGUACCUGACUAAGAAGCCCCGGCUAACUACGUGCCAGCAGCCGCGGUAAUACGUAGGGGGCAAGCGUUAUCCGGAUUUACUGGGUGUAAAGGGAGCGCAGGCGGUCCUGCAAGUCUGAUGUGAAAGCCCGGGGCUCAACCCCGGGACUGCAUUGGAAACUGUGGGACUUGAGUGUCGGAGGGGCAAGUGGAAUUCCUAGUGUAGCGGUGAAAUGCGUAGAUAUU
rnacentral:rRNA from 1 species